rnacentral:rRNA from 1 species
UACGAAGGGGGCUAGCGUUGCUCGGAAUUACUGGGCGUAAAGGGAGCGUAGGCGGGUUAUCAAGUUGGAGGUGAAAGCCCAGGGCUCAACCUUGGAAUUGCCCUCAAAACUGAUAGCCUAGAGUAUGAUAGAGGUAAGUGGAACUCCGAGUGUAGAGGUGAAAUUCGUAGAUAUUCGGAAGAACACCAGUGGCGAAGGCGACUUACUGGAUCAUGACUGACGCUGAGGCUCGAAAGCGUGGGGAGCAAACAGG